GACGAACGCUGGCGGCGUGCCUAAUACAUGCAAGUCGAACGAAUCUUCUUCGGAAGAUGAGUGGCGAACGGGUGAGUAAUACAUAGGUAACCUGCCCCUGUGCGGGGGAUAACAGGAGGAAACUCCUGCUAAUACCGCAUAGCCAUGAGCACCGCAUGGAGCUCAUGCCAAAUAUCCUUUCGGGGAUAGCGCAGGGAUGGACCUAUGGCGCAUUAGCUGGUUGGCGGGGCAACGGCCCACCAAGGCAACGAUGGGGAGCCGGCAUGAGAGGGGGGACGGCCACAUUGGGACUGGGACACGGCCCAGACUCCUACGGGAGGCAGCAGUAGGGAAUUUUCGGCAAUGGGGGAAACCCUGACCGAGCAACGCCGCGUGAGCGAAGAAGGCCUUCGGGUCGUAAAGCUCUGUUGUAAAGGAAGAACGGCGCAUACAGGAAAUGGUAUGCGAGUGACGGUACUUUACCAGAAAGCCACGGCUAACUACGUGCCAGCCGCCGCAGUAA
rnacentral:rRNA from 1 species